GCAUGUCACCCUUGUGGUCAAGGUCCAACCUCAUGCGUCCUGUAUGCAAUGAAAGUGGGAUGCAUGUGGUCAGACCUAGACCACAAGGCCGGUGGCC
rnacentral:pre_miRNA from 1 species